CCUACGGGAGGCAGCAGUGAGGAAUAUUGGUCAAUGGACGAGAGUCUGAACCAGCCAAGUAGCGUGAAGGAUGACUGCCCUAUGGGUUGUAAACUUCUUUUAUAUGGGAAUAAAAUGUUCCACGUGUGGGAUUUUGUAUGUACAAUAUGAAUAAGGAUCGGCUAACUCCGUGCCAGCAGCCGCGGUAAUACGGAGGAUCCGAGAGUUAUCCGGAUUUAUUGGGUUUAAAGGGAGCGUAGGUGGAUUGUUAAGUCAGUUGUGAAAGUUUGCGGCUCAACCGGAAAAUUGCAGUUGAAACUGGCAGUCUUGAGUACAGUAGAGGUGGGCGGAAUUCGUGGUGUAGCGGUGAAAUGCUUAGAUAUCACGAAGAACUCCGAUUGCGAAGGCAGUUCACUGGACUGCAACUGACACUGAGGCUCGAAAGUGUGGGUAUCAAACAGGAUUAGAUACCCCUGUAGUC
rnacentral:rRNA from 1 species